GCGCAGGUGGUUUAACGGAAGCAUAGCAGCCUUCCAAGCUGUUGAUCCGGGUUCGACUUCCGGCUUGCGCA
rnacentral:tRNA from 1 species